rnacentral:lncRNA from 1 species
AACACAAUUAUUUGGCAUUUAUUCAAAUUAAAAAUGCUAAAAUAAGGCAUUUAAAUUAAAUAUGGUUUGUCAAAUUCCUAAAACCUUAUCAAAACACUAAAGAAAUGGCCAAGAGAUUUAUCAUAGGUCAAACAAGGUCAAAGAUGGCUGGAGAAAAAUUUUCAGAAUUUUUAAAGACUUAAAAGUAUUUUUAAACAAUUAAAAAUAUUCACA